rnacentral:rRNA from 1 species
GACGAACGCUGGCGGCGUGCUUAACACAUGCAAGUCGAACGGAAAGGCCCUGCUUUUGUGGGGUGCUCGAGAGGCGAACGGGUGAGUAACACGUGAGUAACCUGCCCUUGACUUUGGGAUAACUUCAGGAAACUGGGGCUAAUACCGGAUAGGAGCUCCUGCUGCAUGGUGGGGGUUGGAAAGUUUCGGCGGUUGGGGAUGGACUCGCGGCUUAUCAGCUUGUUGGUGGGGUAGUGGCUUACCAAGGCUUUGACGGGUAGCCGGCCUGAGAGGGUGACCGGCCACAUUGGGACUGAGAUACGGCCCAGACUCCUACGGGAGGCAGCAGUGGGGAAUAUUGCACAAUGGGCGGAAGCCUGAUGCAGCAACGCCGCGUGCGGGAUGACGGCCUUCGGGUUGUAAACCGCUUUCGCCUGUGACGAAGCGUGAGUGACGGUAAUGGGUAAAAAAGCACCGGCUAACUACGUG